rnacentral:rRNA from 1 species
CCUACCGGGAGGCAGCAGUGGGGAAUAUUGCACAAUGGGCGCAAGCCUGAUGCAGCCAUGCCGCGUGUAUGAAGAAGGCCUUCGGGUUGUAAAGUACUUUCAGCGGGGAGGAAGGCGGUGAGGUUAAUAACCUCAUCGAUUGACGUUACCCGCAGAAGAAGCACCGGCUAACUCCGUGCCAGCAGCCGCGGUAAUACGGAGGGUGCAAGCGUUAAUCGGAAUUACUGGGCGUGAAGCGCUCGCAGGCGGUCUGUCAAGUCGGAUGUGAAAUCCCCGGGCUCAACCUGGGAACUGCAUUCGAAACUGGCAGGCUAGAGUCUUGUAGAGGGGGGUAGAAUUCCAGGUGUAGCGGUGAAAUGCGUAGAGAUCUGGAGGAAUACCGGUGGCGAAGGCGGCCCCCUGGACAAAGACUGACGCUCAGGUGCGAAAGCGUGGGGAGCAAACAGGAUUAGAUACCCCAGUA